rnacentral:lncRNA from 1 species
CAAGAUUUUAAUAACUGUCAUACCACUUUACAGCCAAAUAGUCUAUGUACAGCUUCCCAUAGCAAUUGUAGGCUGAAGACUUAUUUUUGGACAAGACCUACAGAAAGGUGGUGAGAAAGCUACAGUUUGUGAGAGGAGCUUUUCUUAUGUAGAAUCCUUCUGUUUUCUAAAACUCGCCGACAGUUAACGUCAGUGAACCUGGUGCUGAACCACAUUACAUGCUUUCUGAGUCUUCCAGUCGCUUCAGCAAAGUCAGGAGUUUGAAUCACCAACUCCAGUUUCAUCAACUGAGUCUUUAUAUGCCAUGCUCAUGAUACAGCCAUCACUCGCCAGCACCGCCACCCAAUCCUCAGAGGUUCACAAAACUUCUUGUCUGGGGCUCCUCCCGCUGGAGGCGGGUAAGGAUGGAUGUAUAUAGGGACGCAGUGUGAGAGAGAGGACUCAGAUCCCCUCCAAUUCCACACAAGACAACAAGAGCUGCAUGAAACACGAGCAAAGCUGUGGGACGAGGGAAGUGCCAGCCGCCCCAU